UAGCGAAGGGUGCAAACGUUUGUGCUCGGAAUUAUUGGGCGUAAGCGCACGUAGGACGGCUUUGCGAAGCUCGGAUGUGAAAUCCCUCGGCUUAAACCAAGGAAGUGCAUCCGAAACUGCAGAGCGUUGAGUACUUAAGAGGAUCGCGGAAUUCCCGGUGUAGAGGUGAAAUUCGUAGAUAUCGGGAAGGAACACCAGUGGCGAAGGGCGGACGAUCUGG
rnacentral:rRNA from 1 species